UACGUAUGGAGCAAGCGUUAUCCGGAUUUACUGGGUGUAAAGGGAGCGCAGGCGGCGCGCCAAGUCUGGUGUGAAACCCCGGGGCUCAACCCCGGGACUGCAUUGGAAACUGGCGGGCUGGAGUGUCGGAGGGGCAGGCGGAAUUCCUGGUGUAGCGGUGAAAUGCGUAGAUAUCAGGAGGAACACCGGUGGCGAAGGCGGCCUGCUGGACGACAACUGACGCUGAGGCUCGAAAGCGUGGGGAGCAAACA
rnacentral:rRNA from 1 species